rnacentral:rRNA from 1 species
GACGAACGCUGGCGGCGUGCUUAACACAUGCAAGUCGAACGGAAAGGCCCUGCUUUUGUGGGGUGCUCGAGUGGCGAACGGGUGAGUAACACGUGAGUAACCUGCCCUUGACUUUGGGAUAACUUCAGGAAACUGGGGCUAAUACCGGAUAGGAGCUCCUGCUGCAUGGUGGGGGUUGGAAAGUUUCGGCGGUUGGGGAUGGACUCGCGGCUUAUCAGCUUGUUGGUGGGGUAGUGGCUUACCAAGGCUUUGACGGGUAGCCGGCCUGAGAGGGUGACCGGCCACAUUGGGACGGAGAUACGGCCCAGACUCCUACGGGAGGCAGCAGUGGGGAAGAUUGCACAAUGGGCGGAAGCAUGAUGCAGCAACGCCGCGUGCGGGAUGACGGCCUUCGGGUUGUAAACCGCUUUCGCCUGUGACGAAGCGUGAGUGACGGUAAUGGGUAAAGAAGCACCGGCUAACUACGUG